AACCUAAUCGGUAACUGUGCUAUCACCCAACAACGCAUUGAUGCGUUGUCGAGAGGGAAGUAUGCAAUGGUAUGCACGUUGCACUUUGCUGCAACUGUGCAGUCUGCAACGUGCAUAAUGUAACAGGGACGUGGUAGGUGGUGGCGUGCCAUUUGGUCAUGGUUAGUGGGGCUAUUGGUGACUGGUGUGUUGGUGGCUGCUGCGUUUGAUGACUGCUGGUUUUCUGAAGGACAGGAACCUUCUGCCUUUGAUUCACGCCUUCACUCCUGAAACUUGUGAUGAACCCUGCACCAAUUUCUCUGAAGCUGGUGAUGAAGGUGACGAUGCUGGUGUUGAUCACAACUGCCGUCCACGCCCUAGAAGAGCCUGAUGACGUCACCGCCCGCGAGCAAAGGAUUGUGUCUAUAUUUCUGCCACCCUGUCCGAAAGGGUUCGGCGAAAUUAACGGAACGUGCGCUCAGCUUGCUGAAGCUGCUGAACUACCUGUUGACCUUCAACUCCAUCUUCAGCUUCCGGACCCUUGACCUCCAGAGCGGAGACUCGCCAUCAUCACAUGCCGUUCACUUAUGAUUUUCCGCCAAUAAA